rnacentral:rRNA from 1 species
UUAGCCAUGCAUGUCUAAGUACAAACUAAAUUAAAGUAAAACCGCGAAAGGCUCAUUAAAUCAGUUAUGGUUCCUUAGAUCGUACCACAUAUUACUUGGAUAACUGUGGUAAUUCUAGAGCUAAUACAUGCAAACAGAGCUCUAACCGGAGACGGAUAGAGUGCUUUUAUUAGAUCAAAACCAAUCGAUGUUUGGAUGUGAAUUUUUUUUAUUCCAUUACAUCGUAUAUAUAUUUGUGGUGAAUCUGAAUAACUUUUGCUGAUCGCAUGGUCUUGUACCGGCGACGCAUCUUUCAAAUGUCUGCCUUAUCAACUGUCGAUGGUAGGAUCUGCGCCUACCAUGGUUGUAACGGGUAACGGGGAAUCAGGGUUCGAUUCCGGAGAGGGAGCCUGAGAAACGGCUACCACAUCCAAGGAAGGCAGCAGGCGCGCAAAUUACCCACUCCCGGCACGGGGAGGUAGUGACGAAAAAUAACGAUACGGGACUCAUCCGAGGCCCCGUAAUCGGAAUGAGUACACUUUAAAUCCUUUAACGAGGACCAAUUGGAGGGCAAGUCUGGUGCCAGCAGCCGCGGUAAUUCCAGCUCCAAUAGCGUAUAUUAAAGUUGUUGCGGUUAAAAAGCUCGUAGUUUGAUUUGUGUCUUACGCUGUCGGUACACUGCCCGCAGUGUUAACUGGCAUGUUUCGUAGGACGUCCAGCUGGUGAGUUCAUCAAGGUUGCUUUUUUUUCUCUUAAUUGAGAUUAAAUUGUAAACGGUUGAAUUCGACAUUUUUUUAAAUAAAUGAUCCUGUCAAGGUGCUCUUAAUUGAGUGUCUUGUCAGGCCAGCAUAUUUACUUUGAACAAAUUAGAGUGCUUAAAGCAGGCAAAAAUUUAUGCCUGAAUAUUUUGUGCAUGGAAUAUAGAAUAGGACCUCGGUUCUAUUUUGUUGGUUUUUGAGAAUUUCGAGGUAAUGAUUAAUAGGGACAGAUGGGGGCAUUUGUAUUGCGACGUUAGAGGUGAAAUUCUUGG